GCUUAAAAUUUGUCCCUCUAUCGAUUUAUGGGGCUAUUUUUAAUAAAAUAAUUUUUACUACCGAGAAGGAGUGGUAUCCACUCCAGGGUAAAAGCGCAAGUUAGCACCAUGCCGCUCUUGUUUCUUGGGGUAUCCUCUAACUACUCACCAAUUUUCAUCACAAUCGAUGCAGGUUCACCGAAAUGGGAGGUAAUAGCUCAUAUUCACGUUCAGUGACUGCACUAUAACCAGCAAAUACAUAUUCAGUUUACAUAAGAGUGUCGAUACAUAUUUUCACGUUUAAUGUUUACCGAUUAGAGCUCGAACGGUGCGCCGUUAACUGGGUCACCAUAUAACAGUAUUGUCAGAUACUACUUAUUUGUUAGUUUUUUCGCAUUCAAAACAAAGUUCUUUAUCUUACCAUUGAUUGUAAAUGUGUAAAUUGGCUGAUUGUUAGUCAAUCAAGUGGCCGAGAGUUGUAACAGUAACAAAAACGUAGACGUAAUGGGUGUAAUAACUGGGCGUAGUUCAUAGUAGAUACGUUUCAUGUCAAGUAAAUAUUGCAAAUAUAUGGUUACCUUGUAACAAAAACAAUCGAGUAUUUUAUUGUACUAAAUAUACAAGAUAGUCCAGAAAGCCACUGCGAAUCCGCUAGGAAAAAUAUUCUGAUUCGGAUUUUGCACAAUCUUACUCAAAAAGGACCCCUUUAAAAAAUUUGCAUGCUGCUUGGUACAAAAUUUUUGAGAAUAGAAUAAACCUUUCUCCCUCCGGGAGCCUCCAACAUCAAGCCAUCCACACCGGUGAUGGAACUAGGGCUAUACAACAACGAUUGACCAUGACAUCCAGACUACAGCACCCAACAUCUUCAGCUGCAGGGGCCUAGGGCCGAAGAUCCGCCCAGGCCUACAAGAAGUCUACAACAGCAGUACCAUUCGACAUCAAGAAGUUACCAUCGAACCAGAUACCAAAGCCAUAAGUAUAAUCUACAAAUUGUUAGUUUUGGCAAGAAUUCGAAUAUAUUUGUUAAUGCAAUUUACUAAGUCAUAUUUUUAUUAUAUUUUUAUAAAAAAUAAACAUGAUUAGUUAAAAUA